rnacentral:rRNA from 1 species
AGAAAGUUUUCUUCGGAAAUUAUUAAACUGGCGAACGGGUGAGUAACGCGUAGGCAACCUGCCCUAAUGAUUGGGAUAACACCGGGAAAACUGGUGCUAAUACCGGAUACUGCAACAACACCUUCGGGUGUAGUUGUCAAAGCGGGCUUCGGCUCGCGCUUUAGGAUGGGCCUGCGUCCGAUUAGCUUGUUGGUAAGGUAACGGCUUACCAAGGCAAUGAUCGGUAGCUGGUUUGAGAGGAUGAUCAGCCACACUGGGAUUGAGAUACGGCCCAGACUCCUACGGGAGGCAGCAGUAGGGAAUUUUGCGCAAUGGGGGAAACCCUGACGCAGCAACGCCGCGUGACCGAUGAAGCAUUUAGGUGCGUAAAGGUCUGUCGUAAGGGAAGAAAAGUUCGGAUGUAAAUAAUGUUCGAAUCUGACGGUACCUUACAAGAAAGCACCGGCUAACUUAGUGCCAGCAGCCGCGGUAAUACUAGGGGUGCAAGCGUUGUCCGGAAUCACUGGGCGUAAAGGGUCCGUAGGCGUUUCAAUAAGUCAUUUGUGAAAGACACCGGCUUAACCGGUGGCCCGCAUUUGAAACUGUUGAAAUAGAGUAUAGGAGAGGAAAGUGGAAUUCCUGGUGUAGCGGUGACAUGCGUAGAUAUCAGGAGGAACACCAAUGGCGAAGGCAGCUUUCUGGCCUAUUACUGACGCUGAGGGACGAAAGCGUGGGGAGCGAACAGGAUUAGAUACCCUGGUAGUCCACGCCGUAAACGAUGAGUACUUGGUGUCGGGGGAAUCGACCCCUCGGUACCGGAGCUAACGCAUUAAGUA